UACAGAGGUCUCGAGCGUUGUUCGGAUUCAUUGGGCGUAAAGGGGUGCGUAGGCGGCGGGGCAAGUCUGAUGUGAAAUCCCGGGGCUCAACUCCGGAACUGCAUUGGAUACUGCCUUGCUUGAGUACUGGAGAGGAGACUGGAAUUUACGGUGUAGCAGUGAAAUGCGUAGAGAUCGUAAGGAAGACCAGUGGCGAAGGCGAGUCUCUGGACAGUUACUGACGCUGAGGCACGAAGGCCAGGGGAGCAAACGGG
rnacentral:rRNA from 1 species